AAAACGACUCUCGGSAACGGAUAUCUCGGCUCUCGAUCGAUGAAGAACGUAGCGAAAUGCGUACUUGGUGUGAAUUGCAGAAUCCCGUGAACCAUCGAGUCUUUGAACGCAAGUUGCGCCCCAAGCCAUUAGGCUGAGGGCACGUCUGCCUGGGUGUCACGC
rnacentral:rRNA from 1 species